rnacentral:misc_RNA from 1 species
AGCAGCCGCGGUAAUUCCAGCUCCAAUAGCGUAUAUUAAAGUUGUUGCAGUUAAAAAGCUCGUAGUUGAAUUUCGGGGUUAGUAGGUUGGUCAUGCCUCUGGUAUGUACUGGUCUCACUGAUUCCUCCUUCCUGAUGAGCCGUAAUGCCAUUAAUUUGGUGUUGCGAGGAAUUUGGACUGUUACUUUGAAAAAUUAGAGUGUUUAAAGCAAGCUAACGCUUGAAUACAUUAGCAUGGAAUAAUGAGAUAGGACGUUCGAUCCUAUUUUGUUGGUUUCUAGGAUUGACGUAAUGAUUAAUAGGGAUAGUUGGGGGCAUUAGUAUUCAAUUGUCAGAGGUGAAAUUCUUGGAUUUAUUGAAGACUAACUACUGCGAAAGCAUUUGCCAAGGAUAUUUUCGUUAAUCAAGGACGAAAGUUAGGGGAUCGAAGACGAUCAGAUACCGUCGUAGUCUUAACCAUAAACUAUGCCGACUAGGGAUCGGGAUGAUUGUUAAUUUUUUAAUGUACUCAUUC